UACGGGGGGGGCAAGCGUUGUUCGGAAUUACUGGGCGUAAAGGGCUCGUAGGCGGCCAACUAAGUCAGACGUGAAAUCCCUCGGCUCAACCGGGGAACUGCGUCUGAUACUGGAUGGCUUGAAUCCGGGAGAGGGAUGCGGAAUUCCAGGUGUAGCGGUGAAAUGCGUAGAUAUCUGGAGGAACACCGGUGGCGAAGGCGGCAUCCUGGACCGGUAUUGACGCUGAGGCGCGAAAGCCAGGGGAGCAAACGGG
rnacentral:rRNA from 1 species